GUAGGUGAACCUGCGGAAGGAUCAUUAUAGUAGUUAUUCGGGUUGCCGCAAGGUCUCUUGGGUAACCUAUCACCCUUUGUUUAUUACACUUUGUUGCUUUGGCAAGCCUGCCCUCGGGCUGCUGGCUCCGGCCGGCGAGCGCUUGCCAGAGGACCUAAACUCUGUUUGUCUAUAAUGUCUGAGUACUAUAUAAUAGUUAAAACUUUCAACAACGGAUCUCUUGGUUCUG
rnacentral:misc_RNA from 1 species